AAGUCGUAACAAGGUAACCGUAGGUGAACCUGCGGUUGGAUCAUUAAAAAAAAAUUGAAGCUUUCAACCCUUUCAAGGGUAGAAGCGUCAGUGCUCCUCUAACAAGGAGCUUGACUACUCCAAUUUUGUGAACUUGCAACCAAAAAAUGUUUUGAUAGUGGUGAAAGAUUUGGGCAUUACCAGCCCAAGUUUUUCCCUUCUUGAAAAAAUUGUUAACCCUGAAGAAAUAACUUGUCUUUACCGUUUUUUAUAAAUAAAAAUUAAUAAACAACUUUUGACAACGGAUCUCUAGGCUCUC
rnacentral:misc_RNA from 1 species